GAUGAAGAACGUAGUGAAAUGCGAUAAGUAAUGUGAAUUGCAGAAUUCAGUGAAUCAUCGAAUCUUUGAACGCACAUUGCGCCCUCUGGUAUUCCGGGGGGCAUGCCUGUUCGAGCGUCAUUAUAACCACUCAAGCUCUCGCUUGGUAUUGGGGUUCGCGGUUUCGCGGCCCCUAAAAUCAGUGGCGGUGCCUGUCGGCUCUACGCGUAGUAAUACUUCUCGCGAUUGAGUUCGAUAGGUCUACUUGCCAGUAACCCCCAAUUUUUACAGGUUGACCUCGGAUCAGGUAGGGAUACCCGCUGAACUUAAGCAUAUCAAAAGCGGAGGA
rnacentral:misc_RNA from 1 species